UGAGGAAUAUUGGUCAAUGGGCGAAAGCCUGAACCAGCCAUGCCGCGUGAAGGAAUAAGGCCCUAUGGGUCGUAAACUUCUUUUGUAUCGGAGCAAUAAGGGUCACGAGUGAUCCGAUGAGAUUACGAUACGAAUAAGCAUCGGCUAACUCCGUGCCAGCAGCCGCGGUAAUACGGAGGAUGCAAGCGUUAUCCGGAUUUAUUGGGUUUAAAGGGUGCGCAGGCGGCGCGAAAAGUCAGCGGUCAAAGUUCCGGGCUCAACCCGGUGACGCCGUUGAAACUUUCGUGCUGGAGUUCGUGCGAGGGAGGCGGAAUGCGUUGUGUAGCGGUGAAAUGCAUAGAUAUGACGCAGAACCCCGAUUGCGAAGGCAGCUUUCCAGCACGCGACUGACGCUGAGGC
rnacentral:rRNA from 1 species